rnacentral:rRNA from 1 species
AACACCGCCUCUUGCUUAUAUAAGAGGUCCAGCCUGCCCAGUGACUUCUGUUCAACGGCCGCGGUAUCCUAACCGUGCAAAGGUAGCGUAAUCACUUGUCUUCUAAAUAAAGACUAGUAUGAAAGGCAUCACGAGGACUAAACUGUCUCCUCUCCCUAAUCAGUGAACCUAAUAACCCCGUGAAGAAGCGGGGGUAUUUAUAUAAGACGAGAAGACCCUAUGGAGCUUAAAACAUCAUAACACCUGCCACCCCACCUAUUAACCCCGGUUUUCAUCCCCGUGGCUCCCUGAUUAUAUGUUUUUGGUUGGGGCGACCGCGGAGAAAAACCUAUCCUCCACAAUGAAGGGGACCUCCCUAAACAGUAAGCUACAACUUUAUGUAUCAGCAAACUGACAUCCAUUGACCCAAUAUAUUUGAUUAACGAACCAAGUUACCCUAGGGAUAACAGCGCAAUCCACUUUGAGAGCCCCUAUCGACAAGUGGGCUUACGACCUCGAUGUUGGAUCGGGGUAUCCUAGUGUGCAGCCCUACUAAAGGUCGUUGUUCACGAUAAA